AUUGAACGCUGGCGGAAUGCUUUACACAUGCAAGUCGAGCGGCAGCGCGGGGGCAACCCUGGCGGCGAGCGGCGAACGGGUGAGUAACAUAUCGGAACGUAUCCAGUCGUGGGGGAUAACUAUCCGAAAGGAUAGCUAAUACCGCAUACGUCCUGAGGGAGAAAGCGGGGGAUCGCAAGACCUCGCGCGAUUGGAGCGGCCGAUAUCGGAUUAGCUAGUUGGUGGGGUAAAGGCUCACCAAGGCGACGAUCCGUAGCGGGUCUGAGAGGACGACCCGCCACACUGGAACUGAGACACGGUCCAGACUCCUACGGGAGGCAGCAGUGGGGAAUUUUGCGCAAUGGGCGAAAGCCUGACGCAGCCAUACCGCGUGUGUGAAGAAGGCC
rnacentral:rRNA from 1 species